rnacentral:rRNA from 1 species
UACGUAGGGUGCAAGCGUUAAUCGGAAUUACUGGGCGUAAAGCGCACGCAGGUGGCUAAGUCAGUCGAUUGUGAAAGCCCUGGGCUUAACCUGGGAAUUGCAGUCGAUACUACUUAGCUAGAGUAUGGGAGAGGGCAGUGGAAUUCCACGUGUAGCAGUGAAAUGCGUAGAGAUGUGGAGGAACACCGAUGGCGAAGGCAGCCUCCUGGGCCAACACUGACGCCUCAUGCACGAAAGCGUGGGGAGC